AUGAUGAUGUCACUGACUCUACUGCUGACCACCCUGGGGCUCCUUCUUCAGGGUUCCUCUGGACAAGUUACAAUAACUCAGACUCCUGGAUCUCAGUCUGUCAGUCCAGGACAAGAUGUCUCCAUCAGAUGUAAAGUCAGUCCAAGUACUGGUUACUGUAUAAAAUGGUACCAUCAGAAACCAGGAGAGGAUCCUAAACCUCUUAUUAGCUGUGCUACAAUCCGUUACUCUGGAGUUUCUGAUCGUUUCACUGGAACAAAGACUGAUAGUACUGACUUCAGUCUGACCAUCAGUAAUAUUCAGGCUGAAGAUGCUGCAGUUU